ensembl:lncRNA
ACUACCUGGGAAGAGAGGAAAAGCUCAUUGCUCUUUCCUGGGAGCCAGGCUGAGGCAGGUUGAGCAUCCGCUCCAGCUGUCCUCCACACCUGAGAUACAUUUAAUCAGAGCAGUGUGUCAGCCGCACAGACACAGGGCAGGAGUCCGCUCCCUACCGGGAAGUGACUACAGCCCGUGACUGCAUGCACGUCAACUCACCCCCCUCCCCAUCUGUGGGGACAGAUCAGGGACUGAAGCUCUUGAGCUCUUUUUCCCUCCAGUGAGGAUCCAGCCCGUGGCCUCACCAUGUGAUGUUUAUACCCUGGUAACGUCACUGGCAGCUUUCUCUGAACCUUACCAUCUAGCACCCGUGACUUGAAGUGCUGAGAGCUCUCCCCCUUCACUCGUAGGCAAGCCAUUUGAUUUCGGCUCCUCUUGACUCCUGUGGCAGAGAGAUCAACUCCAGAGUGAGGGAGCAAAUCUAGGCUGUGGUGAGGAGGAGAGAGUGAGGCUGGGCAGCUCCUUCAGGGUGUUCGAUUGUGGCUUGAGCACCGUUGAGGGAGAGGUGUUUUUUUGUUUUUAAUUUAUUUUUAACUGAAGGAUAAUUGCUUUACAGUAUUGUGUUGGUUUCUGCCAAACAUCAGCAUGAAUCAGCCACAGGACAGAGGGCUUUUUUCUUUUAAAGAUGGCAGCCAUCCUGGUCAAAGCCUCUUGGUCCCUGCUUUUCCUACUAUCAGACGCUGUUUUCCCAAGUAGACUAUUUUUCCCGUUGGCUCAGUUGGUAAAGAAUCCACCUGCGGUGCAGGAGACCCUGGUUCGAUUCCUGGGUCAGGAAGACCCACUGGAGAAGUGAUUGGCUAUGCACUCCAGUAUUCUUGGGAUUCCUUGGUGCUCAGCUAGUAAAGAAUCUGCCUGCACUACAAGAGACCUGGGUUCUAUCUCUGGGUUGGGAAGAUCCCCUGGAGAAGGGAAAAGCUACACCUUCCAAUAUUCUGGCCUAGAGAAUUCUGUGGACUAUAUAGUCCAUGGCAUAGCAGAGUCAGACACGACUGAGCGACUAUCACUUUCAUUUUUCAUGCUUUUCAUAAAUGGCCUUUAUUAUAUUGAGGAAAUCUCUGUUUUAUUGAAUUUUUUUUAUCAUGAACGGGUUUUGAAUUUUGUCAAGUGUUUUUUAUGCAUAG